AUAAUAAUAUUUGAUUUCAACAUUAUUAAGUAUUUAUCCAUCGAGUCUGUUGGUCCCCCUCAUGUCCACCUCCCAUCACGUGGGGCGAACCUCUGAUGUAGACUAUUCAUUUGUGUGGGGCCCACCUUUAUUGUGGGCCAUCCAUCUUGUGAAGCCCACAUCGGAUAUGCACAGUCUAUUAUGUAGGGCUCAUCUUUGAUGUUGGUCAUCCAUCGUGUGGGGUACACCAUUAAUGUUAUUGUCUAUCAUGUGGAGCCCACCUUCAAUAUUUAUUGCCUAGCAUGUGGAGCUCACUUUUGAUGUGGACUGCUCAUCAUGUGGACCCAAUCUCCGGUGUGAGCCAUCCAUCAUGCAGGCAUGCCUUGGAUAUGGGCCCCACCACAUCAUAUUGAUUGGACGGCUAGAUCAUGAGGUCGACCUAUAGAAAACACAAACUGGAAGCCUACUGUACACAUAUUCGGCCAGAGCAUUGUAAGAUACCUCAUUAAAAUAAGCUAUAGAUAUUUUGGUGAAGGAUCUAGAAAAACCAUUUCCUUUGUGGAGUGGUUGCCACUUUCGAUAAGCACAUUGCUUUUAUUUAUUUAUUUAUUUAUUUAUUUUUAUACAUCUAUCAUUUAGAUUUCAAUGUGAUCACUGAUUAGGGGGACUUUUUAUUUAUUUAUUCAUGGAGAGAGCUUUGAUACUCUGGCAGGGUGUUAUGGUUGAUCGGCAGGCGCUUAAAAUCACUCAGAAAUUGAGUACAUGGCAUACAACUAAUUCAAAUCAACCCGUCUAAAUUAUGGUACCUAGUCUAGAAUUAUAAUCAAUCAUUAAUUAUGAUUAUUUGAUUGUGGACAGUUGAUCGGACGGUAAAAAGUGAAAAUUUUGGCAUGUUCUUGUUUCAACAAAUAAAUGUCCUGUAGCACACGUGCCACCAUCCGUCUUCACUUGGUCACCAUGUUCUAACUCUUAAAUUUUUAUUUAUUUAUUUAUUUAUCUUUGAAAAUCUUAUCAUUUUUUAGAAUUGUACUCAAUUUUCUAAUGCAGUUCUGAAAUAUCUGCUGAAUAUAGCCUUUAUCUUUCCAUUCGAUGUUUUAUAUGGAUGGUCAUGUUUCUUUGAUUACCUUAACCACAUCCCAUGGCAACUGAAUUUGAUAUGAAGGAAAGAAUGAGAGCUGCACAGGUUAAAUUCAUUGCAAGUCUCAGUUCUACGGAAAGUCGUGAGUUGGAUUCGUCAAAAUCUGAACAGAAUGCAUCCAUCUGUGAUGCUAAUCAGGUUUCAGAAGAGCCAGUGCCAGUUGUUCGUUCUCUUUGUCGGGAUCCAGAUUCUAAAAGUCCUCGAUCUUAGUUCUUCUCCAGGUAACAAACUGAAUUGGAAGUUAGUGGCUGAAUUUUUUCCUUAUCUGAAGAAAGUUUUCUCCAAUGCUUUUAUUUUGACUAAUAGUUUGUUUUCAAUAAAUUUCCAAUAAAAUGAUCCAAAUGAAUCUCAUACGUUUUCCUGGUCAUGGAAACUGCAAGUUUCGUCGAGCGAGGCCCCCCAUCAUGGGAAGAAGUUCCCCGGUCAGACAAGGAGCAUCUCUCUAUUGCCAUUAGGGGCAUGACUGAUCCAUCUUUGAACUGAGUCCACGCGUCAUGGGCAACCAACAGAAGUCGAUGCAUUCUUGACUACAUCAAAGCGCAUCUUCCUGCUAUGAGGAACAUUCAAGUGUCAAAUGCAUAUUAUAAUUCAAGCACAGAUGUUACAUCUUCCCCUGAGAUGAUGGAACAUGAUCUCAGGUUAACUUGCUGUCCCUAAAUUGAUAAAAGCU